rnacentral:rRNA from 1 species
GAGUUUGAUCCUGGCUCAGAUUGAACGCUGGCGGCAUGCCUUACACAUGCAAGUCGAACGGCUAGCACGGGAGCUUGGCUCCUGGUGGCGAGUGGCGAACCGGGUGAGGUAAUGCAUCGGAACGUAUCCUGGACGUGGGGGAUAACGUAGCGAAAGUUAACGCUUAAUACCGCAUAUUCUGUGAGCAGGAAAGCGGGGACCUUCGGGCCUCGCGCUCUUGGAGCGGCCGAUGUCGGAUUAGCUAGUUGGUUGAGGUAAA